GGCCUGUAUCCACAAAGCUUCUCAGAGCAGCAGUGCUGAUCUAGGAUCAGUUUAGCCACCAGGACUGGGGGACUGGGCCUGUAUCCUCAAAGCUUCUCAGAGCAGCAGUGCUGAUCUAGGAUCAGUUUAGCCACCAGGACUGGGGGACUGGGCCUGUAUCCUCAAAGCUUCUCAGAGCAGCAGUGCUGAUCUGGGAUCAUUUAGCCACCAGGACUGGGGGACUGGGCCUGUAUCCUCAAAGCUUCUCAGAGCAGCAGUGCUGAUCUGGGAUCAGUUUAGCCACCAGGACUGGGGGACUGGGCCUGUAUCCUCAAAGCUUCUCAAAGCUUCUCAGAGCAGCAGUGCUGAUCUGGGAUCAGUUUAGCCACCAGGACUGGGGGACUGGGCCUGUAUCCACAAAGCUUCUCAGAGCAGCAGUGCUGAUCUAGGAUCAGUUUAGCCACCAGGACUGGGGGACUGGGCCUGUAUCCUCAAAGCUUCUCAGAGCAGCAGUGCUGAUCUAGGAUCAGUUUAGCCACCAGGACUGGGGGACUGGGCCUGUUUCCUCAAAGCUUCUCAGAGCAGCAGUGCUGAUCUAGGAUCAGUUUAGCCACCAGGACUGGGGGCCUGGGUAUCCACAAAGCUUCUCAGAGCAGCAGUGCUGAUCUAGGAUCAGUUUAACCACCAGGACUGGGGGACUGGGCCUGUAUCCUCAAAGCUUCUCAGAGCAGCAGU
ensembl:lncRNA